rnacentral:misc_RNA from 1 species
AAGUCGUAACAAGGUUUCCGUAGGUGAACCUGCGGAAGGAUCAUUGAAUAACAUCCGUCCCUACGUGUCCCUAUAUACAGACGAAAACCACUUCGUCCGUCGGGGUGAUAUAUGGAGCAACGAGCGAUGUGGGGAGCCCUUGUGACUUCCCUGUCGCUGUGUUGUGGCGGCAGGCCUGGCGGGUGAUAACCCCGGCCAAAGUCCGCUUCUCUUUUUGAUUUCCGCAUUCGUGAUGAUUGGCUGAUGAACGGGAGGUUAUCUGGUUUUUCGCGCUUUUUGCGAUGCCAGGUACGCCCGAUUGAAAACUUUACACAACUUUUAACAAUGGAUCUCUUGGCUCUC